UCCUAGUUUCCUUAUUUAAACGGAAAUCGACAGUGCGAAUUUCGGUUCCCACAGGGGGGUUUAAAAAGUAUGGUCCUAAAAACUGGGCCAAGAUCGUACGUACGUACAAGGACGUCUAUCAGAGCUCGUUAGUCACGGGAGAAUUACAAACAGUGCCUCUUGCUCUUCCAAAGCCAAAGACGUUGCUUGCCCAGUCUACCUGGAAGUUAAUGUGAAUUCUAAAGAAAGACGUGAAUGGUGAAUUCUUUGAAACAAUUGAGUACUGGACUCCUUUCUGAACAAAUUUUGAUAAGAGCAGAACCAUAAUCCCAUAGAUGUUGGAUUUAUUAAUGGGCCUAUGUAAACUGAAUGUCUAAACAUAAGAUAGUUGUAAUGGGCCGAUCACUAUCCAAUAAAUUCAUCCAUUUGGGCUGAACCCAUUUCACCUAUUAUCAAUAUCCAAUAGUGCACGUUCCUAGCUCGAACGAAAAUGAUAGAUACCUUUUUUUGCCAACAGGGCUAUGAGUCCUUCUCAUGAAUAAUAUAUAAGCCACGUAAGCAUAGCUAUUAUAGAAUUACAUAAUAUAUAACACUAAAUUACAUUAAUUUAUUGGUAAAUGUUGUUAUAUAAACUAAAAUAUUUUAGUAUAGAAAUAAGAAACCCGCACGGUUGUGCGGAUCGAAAUCUAGUUGUUUUUAAAUAGCUAUCCACUCAUAAUGAAAAAUAAUAUACGUACUUCUUUUGAGGAAAGUUUGUUUUUUAUUAUCUGAAUAUAUAUGCAUUUAUAUUUGUCACACCAAAAAAACAUGAAAUUAUUGUUUUUAGAAUUUAUUUACAAAAUUGAAAUUUUUAUUUACAUUAAUAAACAAAAAGAAAUAUGAGGUUUGCAUCCCUAUUAAACUAUAUUGUAUAAUUCACUUAUAAAAUUAAAAAUGCAUUUAUAAAAUAUUAAAUAAUUAUUAAAUAAUAAUUUUUAUUUAAAUUAUUAUUUGCCUCCGAUGAAUUUUUUUUGAGAAAUUAGAACGUCUACCAACCAUUUCUACGCUAUUUUGCAUACUGCCAAAAGGGUACCUUUUCGAUACUAUUGACAAUUUCGGAGGACACUGAUACCCCUAUAACUUCAUAUAUGUGCCUAUGCAAAAGCUAUCUAAAAGAUAUCACAAGAUUUUUCACAGGAAUUGUCAGUCCAAAACUACAACCCUUACCAUGUUUAUGAUUCUAUAUUGCAUUUUUUUUCUUUCUUCCAUCGUAUCUUCACUAAUUCUGAAGAUCUCUCAACAUCUCUCCUCUUCCAUCCUCUUUCCUCUCAGAAACACCUCCAAUCUAUGACAAACCCAAAAUUUUCUAACUUGAGACGAAAUGGAAGACGCUGAACACUAAGCUUCACAACUUCUCAUUCCGGAGAGAAUUUUCGCCGUUCGUGAAGAACGAAUCAGAGUGAGGGUACCAAACUCUCUCUCCCUUAAAUCACUUUGUUCUUAUCUGUUUAGAACAUAGACCAUUUCUGAGAUCUAAUCGUCUACCUAAAGAACAGAGCUGUAGAUGGAGAAUAACAACUCAGAAAGCUCACCUUAUCUGAUCCUGGAGAGUUUCUUCUCUCUCGUUGAUGAGCCUAUCGGUGUUAGAGUGAUGUCGUACAACAAACCGUUCGCAGUCAGGCAGAUCCUCAGUGCCACCGACGCCGAUGAAGUCAAAACUCCAAAUGAUAAAGUGGAACCAAAAAAUUAGAAAAAAUAUUUACAAGUGACUCGACAAUUACAAAAAUAUCUCAGUCCAAAAACUAUUUGAAUCCAUGCUAAACGUUUUCGUAACCUUCUACAAAAAUGGAAAUCAUCUGCAACUAAAAAUACAAUAUUUUGCUUAGUUGGAUAAACAAUGAGAACCACAUGCACAAGCAGAUUGUAAAAACUAUUGUCCAACUAAUAUAUUUUGUAAUUGGCUUAACAAAAUUGUUGUCCAACUAAUAUUAUAUUUUACAUAUCUAACAUUUUUCAUUGAUAGCUAACAUUACUUUUAGCUGAGCUUUGAAAGUUUUAACUGGAUAAUAAUACUUUUAAAAUAUAUAUUUUAGUUUUGUUGAAGAUAAUAUAUUCUUAAAAGGACAUGUAUUUUUUAGCCAAUUAUGUAUAAAACGUAAUUAUUUUCAUGCACGACCAGAUUGUCAAAACCAUUGUCCGAGUAAUAUAAAUUGUAACUGGUUUAACAGAAUUGUUGUCCAACUAAUAAUAUUUGUACACAUCUAACAUUUCUCUUUGAUAGCUAACAUUAUAUUUAACUGUUCUUUGAAAGUUUUAACCGGAUAAUAAAAUUUAAAAGUAAAUAUAUUAAUUUUGUUGAAGAUAAUAAUAUAUUUAAAAGGACAUGUAUUUUUUAGCCGAUUAUGAAUUUAUACAUAAUUAUUUACAUUAUCUACAGAUGAUAUUUCUAAUUUGGAGGUUAAAUUUCAUAUAACUAACAUGUAACCAUUAUGUAAUAUAUUAAGUCGUGUACGUAAUUUUAUAUUGACAUGCAACUUUUAUAUUUCAUAGAGUUAAUCAGAAUAACAAGUAAAUAUGUGUUAGCAAUGUAAAUAUGAAAUUAGCCGUCUAUUUUUCUAAUAACAAGUAAAUAAUGUGUUAGCAGUAUAAAUAUAAAACUAGCUGUCAACGUUUUGGUAUUAGCCACUCUUUUUUACAUGAUCUCUGUUUGUAUUUCCUCGAUCUACCUCUUCUCUUUUUCACCCGCUCAUUUCCAUGUUCAUGUUCAAGUAGUCGGCUGAGUUUUGUUGGUACUGAUGCGGUGGUGGCGACUAUGAGCUUGUUGGCUUGUAAAAAGCGGUUACGUCAAUUGUUUGGGAUUGUGGUGAUGAGUGGUUGGGUAUGAUCAAGUGAUUAUGUAAAGAAAGGAAACAGAGAAAAAGAACAAAAACUUAUGAGCUCAUGAGUUUGUUUGGAACUCAUAUAUCCCCUGAUUUUGUUUAGAUUCAUUGGCAAAGUAAAAAAAGAAACAGAAGAAGAAAGUGGAGAUAGAAGCCAACGCUAAUGAGAGAGAAAGAAAUAUAAAAUUUUCUUAAGUUUAUAAAUCGAAUGGCUGAAUUUGCUCUGACAAAAUCUUCACAGAAUCUUUGACAGAUCUUCAUGCUAGUUACAAACCUACAACCUUAAAUCAGAAGAAACCUUCACGAGGGCUUUGGAGGUAAUUUUGUAUGUUCUGACACCACAAUAACAUCUAAUUUUUCACUGUUUUUAGCAUUUUCCUAGUAUCACUAUCUUUUAUUGGUUUUCCGCAAAUUAUCCCAAUAUUUUUCUAGAUCCGCUACCGAGAGAAAUGUGAGAUUAAUGGAUAUGAAGUUAUGAACCAACACUCCCAAGCAACUUGGAGGGAUUCACUGAAUCCGAGGAUCAGUUGUUCUCCGUAUUUUUGGUAAUUUGUUAAAUUAUUGAAAAUUUAGAGAUACUUAAACAAUAAACAAAUACGGGCCCACGGUUUUCUUCUUGGAGGUUUCAUCAAAUACUUUUGCAUUUUUGGUUCAAGCAGCUCCAUUAACAACGAAUUUUAUCAAAUUUUGUUUUUGCUAACCGAGUAUCCUAACCUCAUCGAAGUGGUCCAGACUAGAGACCGAAGUGAGCAUGAACGCUGUUAGGACGUCACCAUGUGGCUCACCAUGGAACGGUCUUCGGUCUCGGAUGCUGCAGCUCAUAUGUAAAUUCUGCAGUAGCCAAGGCUCGAACCCAGGAACGAGCACUCCAACUGGAGCUUCUAUACCACUAGACCAAAGCAACUUGGUUGAAUUUUAUCAAAUUAUAGAUGCGGUUUCCAGUACUUUGCGAGGCGUCUUCCUAAUACAUAUAUAGAGCCUUUAGUAUAACGUGUGGUACCACUGAAAUUAACCUUAUUAUGUAUACGAAAAUGUAGUAUAUAGUAUAUACCUUAGUUUCUCUAUAAAUUCCCUAAAUAGGCCAUGUCAACUUUAAACCCUUUAGUAUAACGUGUGGUACCUCUGAAAGUAACCUUAUUAUGUAUACUAAAAUGUAGUAGAUAGUAUAUACCGUAGUUUCUGUAUAAAUUCCCUAAAUUUCAGACGUCAUUUGAAAACAAAAAAAAAAACAAAGCUAACGAUGUAAUUCUUCAACAUCACAACAUAUGUUUU